rnacentral:rRNA from 1 species
CCUACGGGAGGCAGCAGUGGGGAAUAUUGGACAAUGGGCGCAAGCCUGAUCCAGCAAUGCCGCGUGUGUGAAGAAGGCCUUCGGGUUGUAAAGCACUUUAGGCAGGGAAGAAAAAAUCGGCGAUAACAUCGCCGAUCUUGACGGUACCUGAGGAAUAAGCACCGGCUAACUCUGUGCCAGCAGCCGCGGUAAUACAGAGGGUGCAAGCGUUAAUCGGAUUUACUGGGCGUAAAGCGUGUGUAGGUGGUUAGAAAAGUCGAUUGUGAAAUCCCUGGGCUCAACCCGGGAACUGCUUUCGAGACUGUUUGACUAGAAUUCGGUAGAGGGAGGCGGAACUCCAGGUGUAGCGGUGAAAUGCGUAGAUAUCUGGAAGAACACCAAUGGCGAAGGCAACCUCCUGGGCCUGAAUUGACACUGAGACACGAAAGCGUGGGGAUCAAACAGGAUUAGAUACCCUGGUAGUCCACGCCGUAAACGAUGAGAACUUGACGUCGGUUUAGCUCUGCGAGUCGUGUCGUAGCGUACGCGAUAGUACGUCCGUCCGUCGGGAGGUACGGCCGCGAGUAGAACGUACGAAGAAGUAGACGCGUGAGACGUGCCGACGGACGACGACGAGGGAGGAGG